AUCACUGGAUAGCUCAAUUGGUUAGAGCCUGGUGCUGAUAAUGCCAAUGUUGUGGGUUCAAUCCCUGUAUGUGAUA